GACGAACGCUGGCGGCGUGCUUAACACAUGCGAGUCGAACGAUGAUCCGGAGCUUGCUCCUGUGAUUAGUGGCGAACGGGUGAGUAACACGUGAGUAACCUGCCCCUGACUCUGGGAUAAGCGUUUGAAACGACGUCUAAUACUUGAUAUGAUCACUUGCCGCAUGGUCUGGUGGUGGAAAGAUUGUUUGGUUGGUGAUGGACUCGCGGCCUAUCAGCUUGUUGGUGAGGUAAUGGCUCACCAAGGCUACGACGGGUAGCCGGCCUGAGAGGGUGAACGGGCACAAGGGGACUGAGACACGGCGCAGACUCCUACGGGAGGCAGCAGUGGGGAAUAUUGCACAAUGGGCGAGAGCCUGAUGCAGCGACGCCGCGUGAGGGAUGACGGCCUUCGGGUUGUAAACCUCUUUUAGUAGGGAAGAAGCGAAAGUGACGGUACCUGCAGAAAAAGCACCGGCUAACUACGUG
rnacentral:rRNA from 1 species